GACUAACGCUGGCGGCGUGCUUAACACAUGCAAGUUGAACGGAGCACACCAAGUAGCAAUACGAGGUGUGCUUAAUAGCGGACGGGUGAGUAACGCGUGAGUAACCUGCCUUUGUGAGGGGGACAGCAGCCGGAAACGGCUGCUAAUACCGCAUGAGACCACGACCUCGAGUGGGGUUGAGGUAAAAGAUUUAUCGCACAAAGAUGGACUCGCGUCCCAUUAGCUAGUUGGUGAGGUAACGGCCCACCAAGGCGACGAUGGGUAGCCGACCUGAGAGGGUGAUCGGCCACACUGGAACUGAGACACGGUCCAGACUCCUACGGGAGGCAGCAGUGGGGAAUAUUGGGCAAUGGGCGCAAGCCUGACCCAGCAACGCCGCGUGAGGGAAGAAGGUCUUCGGAUUGUAAACCUCUGUCCUCAGGGACGAAUUAUGACGGUACCUGAGGAGGAAGCUCCGGCUAACUACGUGCCAGCCGCCGCCGUAAAAC
rnacentral:rRNA from 1 species